GCCUGCUCGGUGUAUACUCCAGAUGAGCGAACACUGGUGCAAACUCGAUCGUUCCGGCGAACGGGAAAAACGCAUCCUGCGCUAUGUGUUCCCCCGUGCGUGGGUGCCGAUACGGCUCGGCAAGACCGAAGUCGAUCAAGUGCAGCGUCUUGCGGGUCGUUCCGCGACCCAGCAGGACAUUGUCCGGCUUCAGGUCGCGGUGAACGUACCCCAGCUCGUGGAAUGUUUCCAGCCUGUCGAGCAGUUGCAGCGCUAGCUGCGAAACCGUCUUCAGACCGAAGCGUCCUCCGCACAAGUUCAGUAAGUCCUGCAGUGAUGGCCCCAGGCGCUCCAAAACCAGCACGUCGCGUUUGCGAUACGUACCGGCGUCGAUGAGUCUGGGCCAUCCACGAGCCUUCGGCAGCCGCGCAUAGAUCCGGCGCUCCGUGGCGAGCAGGAGCCGGUCCACCUCUUUGCUGGCCAUUUUCAUCACCACCGGCUGCUUGGAGCGGGCAUGGCUGCCCACCAACACCGUGCCGCAGCCACCAGCAUCGAAUUCGCCUUCAAUCCGAUAGGUGGAGAGAUUCACCACCAUCAAGGACUCCGGCGAACUAGAAUUGGGCGCACGUCCUUCUCUAAUCGACAUGUUCGAUUCUCUUUGGCCACCUGCGAAAUGUAACUAGAAGCAACAGCAGAAUCAAUUUUUCGCAAAAACACUCGAAAAAACCGUUAAAAGUGAGAGCGAACGAAAACACGUCACCUUGCGUUUACUCGUAGUGAGGAUAUAACCUGAUGCAUAAGUGUGGUCUACAUAUAUAGCCUUUGGUUGGGUGAUGUUCACAUGUGUACUACGAUCGAAACAGCAACUUGACAGAUUACGCAUUUUCGGCUGGUAACCAUCUAGUUACCUGUGGUGUGUGGGUUUUGGAAAACGCAUCCAAGUGUUGUUACAUUUCCAGGUCCGAUUUUGGUUCAUUUCGUCGUACCGGUGCCCUGGCCUGGCGUGGCCUGUGCGAGUUCUGUGCAGAUCCUGUGUCGCGUCCUGUGUGCUUCUUUUAUUGGGGUUUUCUUUUUUACGGCUUUUUUUGUACGGGUAAAAGUGAUAAGUCCGUGGAGAUGAAAAGCCAGACCAACAGCCAGCAGCUGUAUCACACCCGCCACCGUGCGUCUCCAUGAGAAUGCGUCAAAGUGGUGGACGCUUUUAUCUCCGAAACAGGAUCAACAUCAAAGCAUCAACCGGCGGCAGAAUUUAAAAAAGAACUUACAUAUUACCCAGGCUGGAUGGACGCAAGCCUUUAAAGUAUGAAUGCAAAAGUAUUGAAAACCUCGCCCGGAUUGGAACUUUAGAGAACUAAAAAAAAAACAUGAAAUUGGGAGAGUCUUCCAAACACGCGGAUGUGUGCCUUUGAUGGAAACGGUUUAUUGCGCGGAUUCUAAUUACACCUCGUAAAAUGGUACCCGUUUUUCGGUCGCGAUGUCGAGAUGCCGCCGAGAUAUGAAGCGUGCGAAUUUGCGAAUUGCGAUGGCGAGAAAUCACCCGAUCGCGCACGAAUCGCAGCUCAUUGCGUGCGA